rnacentral:rRNA from 1 species
UACGUAGGGGGCUAGCGUUGUCCGGAAUCAUUGGGCGUAAAGCGCGUGUAGGCGGCCCGGUAAGUCCGCUGUGAAAGUCGGGGGCUCAACCCUCGGAUGCCGGUGGAUACUGUCGGGCUCGAGUGCGGAAGAGGCGAGUGGAAUUCCUGGUGUAGCGGUGGAAUGCGCAGAUAUCAGGAGGAACACCGGCGGUGUAGACGGCUCUCUGGACCGUAACUGACGCUGAGACACGAAAGCGUGGGGAGCAAACAGG